rnacentral:rRNA from 1 species
AUUGAACGCUGGCGGCAGGCCUAACACAUGCAAGUCGAGCGAGCGGCGGACGGGUGAGACAUGUAUGGGGACUGCCCGAUAGAGGGGGCUCACUACUGGAAACGGUGGCUAAUACACCAUACUGUCGUCUAACCCCUAUCGGAUGAGCUAGUAGGUAAGGUAAUGGCUUACCUAGGCGACGAUCCCUAGCUGGUCUGAGAGGAUGAUCAGCCACACUGGGACUGAGACACGGCCCAGACUCCUACGGAGGCAGCAGUGGGGAAUAUUGCACAAUGGGCGAAAGCCUGAUGCAGCCAUGCCGCGUGUAUGAAGAAGGCCCUAGGGUUGUAAAGUACUUUCAGUCGGGAGGCGGUACCGACAGAAGAAGCACCGGCUAACGCCGUGCCAGCCGCCGCGGUAAUAC